rfam:Mus musculus chromosome 11 genomic contig CAST/EI_MMCHR11_CTG4, GRC reference assembly NOVEL PATCH for GRCm38.
CAUGCUCCUAGAUGUGUUUCAGGUAUGGCUGCUGUGUCACAUGUGCAUCAGAAGGUGACAGAGAGGAGAGAGCCUAUGCAAAGGCUCAGUGUUCUGACCUAUGGACUUCUGAAUGAUUAGUGGCCUCCUGAC